rnacentral:sRNA from 1 species
GGCUCCUCUCGGUCAGUGCGGUUUCGCCUUUAUGGUGGUGGAGUCCGCCCAGGCUGUGGACCGCAAAUAACCCUGUACAAAGAGGAAUGGAGAUUGCCUCUAUCCAGCUAGAUUCAUAAGCUGGCCUGAGGUGAUCUUGGCAUCAAGGAAGGGAUGCACAUCAUCACACCAUCAGCUUCAGAGCAUGGCAGCCAUUUAUUUGUCCCGUGGGUUUUUUUCCAGGGAACCAAUCUGCCCUUUUGAAGAAAAGACAAAGGUAGAAAGGAUGGUGGAGGACUCCCUGGCAAAUGGUUAUCAGGUAAGCAGAAAACGUACUGUUGUACAAA